CACGUAGUUAGCCGGGACUUCUUAGUCAGGUACCGUCAUUUUCUUCCCUGCUGAUAGAGCUUUACAUACCGAAAUACUUCCUCACUCACGCGGCGUCGCUGCAUCAGGGUUUCCCCCAUUGUGCAAUAUUCCCCACUGCUGCCUCCCGUAGGAGUUUGGGCCGUGUCUCAGUCCCAAUGUGGCCGUCCACCCUCUCAGGCCGGCUACUGAUCGUAGGCUUGGUAGGCCUCUACCCUGCCAACUACCUAAUCAGACGCGGGCCCAUCUUACACCACCGGAGUUUUUACCACCCUGCCAUGCGGCAAUGUGGUCUUAUGCGGUAUUAGCAGUCAUUUCUAACUGUUAUCCCCCUGUGUAAGGCAGGUUGCCCACGCGUUACUCACCCGUCCGCCGCUCAGUCACUUCCUCGUCCCUCCGAAAAGUUCUAACAAGUGCUUCGCUCGACUUGCAUGUGUUAGGCACGCCGCCAGCGUUCAUCCUGAGCCAGGACUCAAACUCU
rnacentral:rRNA from 1 species